AGCAGUAGCCGCGGUAAUACGUAGGGUGCAAGCGUUAAUCGGAAUUACUGGGCGUAAAGCGUGCGCAGGCGGUUAUAUAAGACAGAUGUGAAAUCCCCGGGCUCAACCUGGGAACUGCAUUUGUGACUGUAUAGCUAGAGUACGGCAGAGGGGGAUGGAAUUCCGCGUGUAGCAGUGAAAUGCGUAGAUAUGCGGAGGAACACCGAUGGCGAAGGCAAUCCCCUGGGCCUGUACUGACGCUCAUGCACGAAAGCGUGGGGAGCAAACAGGAUUAGAUACCCGAGUAGUCCCUGUCUCUUAUAA
rnacentral:rRNA from 1 species